AGGAUGAACGCUAGCGGCAUGCUUAACACAUGCAAGUCGAACGAGGAUCAGAUAGCUUGCUAACUGGUCCUAGUGGCGGACGGGUGAGUAACGCGUAAGAAUCUGCCCCUAGGAGAGGGAUACCAACUGGAAACGGUUGUUAAUACCUCAUAUGCUGAGGAGUGAAAUGGUUUCAUACCGCCUAGGGAUGAGCUUGCGUCUGAUUAGCUAGUUGGUGGGGUAAUAGCCUACCGAGGCAAUGAUCAGUAGCUGGUCUGAGAGGACAAUCAGCCACACUGGGACUGAGACACGGCCCAGACUCCUACGGGAGGCAGCAGUGAGGAAUUUCGCAAUGGGCGAAAGCCUGACGGAGCAAUGCCGCGUGGAGGAAGACGGCCCGUGGGUUGUAAACUCCUUUUCUUGGAGAAGAAUAACUGACGGUAUCCAAGGAAUAAGCAUCGGCUAACUCCGUGCCAGCAGCCGCGGU
rnacentral:rRNA from 1 species